rnacentral:rRNA from 1 species
GAUGAACGCUGGCGGCGUGCCUAAUACAUGCAAGUCGAGCGAACAGAUAAGGAGCUUGCUCCUUUGACGUUAGCGGCGGACGGGUGAGUAACACGUGGAUAACCUACCUAUAAGACUGGGAUAACUUCGGGAAACCGGAGCUAAUACCGGAUAACAUAUUGAACCGCAUGGUUCAAUAGUGAAAGGCGGCUUUGCUGUCACUUAUAGAUGGAUCCGCGCCGUAUUAGCUAGUUGGUAAGGUAACGGCUUACCAAGGCAACGAUACGUAGCCAACCUGAGAGGGUGAUCGGCCACACUGGAACUGAGACACGGUCCAGACUCCUACGGGAGGCAGCAGUAGGGAAUCUUCCGCAAUGGGCGAAAGCCUGACGGAGCAACGCCGCGUGAGUGAUGAAGGUCUUCGGAUCGUAAAACUCUGUUAUCAGGGAAGAACAAAUGUGUAAGUAACUGUGCACAUCUUGACGGUACCUGAUCAGAAAGCCACGGCUAACUACGUG